AGCAGCCGCGGUAAUUCCAGCUCCAAUAGCGUAUAUUAAAGUUGUUGCAGUUAAAAAGCUCGUAGUUGAAUUUCGGGGUUAGUAGGUUGGUCAUGCCUCUGGUAUGUACUGGUCUCACUGAUUCCUCCUUCCUGAUGAGCCGUAAUGCCAUUAAUUUGGUGUUGCGGGGAAUUUGGACUGUUACUUUGAAAAAUUAGAGUGUUUAAAGCAAGCUAACGCUUGAAUACAUUAGCAUGGAAUAAUGAAAUAGGACGUUCGAUCCUAUUUUGUUGGUUUCUAGGAUUGACGUAAUGAUUAAUAGGGAUAGUUGGGGGCAUUAGUAUUCAAUUGUCAGAGGUGAAAUUCUUGGNUUUAUUGAGACUAACUACUGCGAAAGCAUUUGCCAAGGAUGUUUUCAUUAAUACAAGAACGAAAGUUAGGGGAUCGAAGACGAUCAGAUACCGUCGUAGUCUUAACCAUAAACUA
rnacentral:rRNA from 1 species